UGUCGAGCAUGGCAGAUUUUACAGGACCUCCAAUCACACGUGGGUGACAAUAGAGAGGAUACAGUUUGUAGGAGCGUGUAACCCACCGACUGACUGGGGAAGGAAACCACUGUCUCACAGCUGUGAAGGAAAUUAAGAAAUCCCACCUGGUUGAAGUGAGGGCUCUGAACAACCCCCAUCAGGUCAUCAAGAUGGCACUGGAAAGCACCAGCAUGCUAAUCGGAGAACCUUACACUGACUGGAAGAGUAUCAGACAGAUUAUAAUGAAGGAGAACUUUAUAACACGUUAGUAAGGCUGUGGGCCUUUGGUGAAGUGGGCCAUUGCUCAGAGAGUUUCAGCUGAUUCUGAUUAAAU